ACCCUACUGGUGUAUCGGUUAACAUGGCGGAUUCUCAUUCUCAUUCCAAAGUGAAGUGAAGCUUCCGCAGCACAGGGUUCAAUUCCCUGGUAGGGUA